CGGGAAGAGAAGCCAGCCCGGACGGCACCCUGGAGACGGGCGCGGAAGGUCCGAGCCUACCCGUGGGUGGGAGACGCCGACGCCGACUUGACAGCGCGUCCCAGCACCACUCGCUCGCUCUCGCUCUCGGGAAAAACUGAGGCACCAAGCUUGGUUCCCGGAGCCAGCGGGGACUGUGGAGACACUGCCAGAAUCCUCAACGGCUUGGAAAUCCUAUCACCUUGGUUCCCUGAGACUUGGAGUAGGAACUGACAGCUGGCUGACAAAAAAAAACUCAUCCAGGGAGAGAAAAGACAUAAGUGAAGUAUGAAAUUU